rnacentral:rRNA from 1 species
CCGUAGCCGGUCUAGUAAACCCUUGGGUAAAUCGGAGUUGCUUAACAAUUCGAAUUCCGAGGAGACUGCUAUGCUAGGGAAUGGGAGAGGUCAGAGGUACUCCUGGGGUAGGGGUGAAAUCCUGUAAUCCCAUGAGGACCACCGGUGGUGAAGACGUCUGACCAGAACAUGUCCGACGGUGAGGGACGAGACCCUGGGGCGCAAACGGGAUUAGAUACCCCCGGGUAGUCCAGGGCGUAAACGCUGCGGGCUUGGUGUCGGGGAUCCUACGAGGGUGCCCGGUGCCGGAGAGAAGUUGUUUAGCUCGCUGCCUGGGGAGUACGGUCGCAAGACUGAAACUUA